rnacentral:rRNA from 1 species
GACGAACGCUGGCGGCGUGCUUAACACAUGCAAGUCGAACGAUGAAGCUAGAGCUUGCUCUGGUGGAUUAGUGGCGAACGGGUGAGUAACACGUGAGUAACCUGCCCCGAACUCUGGGAUAACUGCUGGAAACGGUAGCUAAUACUGGAUACGACCAACGAAGGCAUCUUCUGUUGGUGGAAAGAAUUUCGGUUCGGGAUGGACUCGCGGCGUAUCAGCUUGUGGGCGAGGUAACGGCUCACCAAGGCGACGACGGGUAGCCGGCGUGAGAGGGUGAUCGGCCACACUGGGACUGAGACACAGCCCAGACUCCUACGGGAGGCAGCAGUGGGGAAUAUUGCACAAUGGGCGCAAGCCUGAUGCAGCAACGCCGCGUGAGGGACGACGGCCUUCGGGUUGUAAACCUCUUUUAGUAGGGAAGAAGCGAAAGUGACGGUACCUGCAGAAAAAGCACCGGCUAACUACGUGCCAGCCGCCGCGGUAA